UUAACUGAAACCAAAAAGAGGUAUAUUACUGUUAAUAAUACAAUUGAAUAUAAAUUCCAGUUAAA
rnacentral:tRNA from 1 species